rnacentral:rRNA from 1 species
GACGAACGCUGGCGGCGUGCUUAACACAUGCAAGUCGAACGGAAAGGCCCUGCUUGCAGGGUACUCGAGUGGCGAACGGGUGAGUAACACGCGGGUGAUCUGCCCUCCACUUCGGGUUAAGCCUGGGAAACUGGGUCUAAUACCGGAUAGGUGCCAUAUUUAGUGUGAUGGUUGGAAAGUUUUUUCGGUGUAGGAUGAGCUCGCGGCCUAUCAGCUUGUUGGUGGGGUAAUGGCCUACCAAGGCGGCGGCGGGUAGCCGGCCUGAGGGGGUGGACGGCCACAUUGGGCCCGAGGGACGGCCCAGACUCCGAAGGGAGGCAGAAGGGGGGAAUAUUGCACAAUGGGCGCAAGCCUGAUGCAGCGAGGCCGCGUGGGGGAAGACGGCCUUCGGGUUGAAAACUCCUUUCGCUAGGGACGAAGCUUUUUGUGACGGUACCUAGAUAAGAAGCACCGGCUAACUACGUG